UUCUACAGCUUUCCUUAAUCACUGCUUCCUAGGAUAGAGUCUCAAAUCCUGUAAGUAUGACCUGCAUUCUUUGUUUCUAAAUCUAUGACUUUACAUUUG